GACGAACGCUGGCGGCGUGCUUAACACAUGCAAGUCGAACGGUGAAGUAGAGCUUGCUCUAUGGAACAGUGGCGAACGGGUGAGUAACACGUGGGCAACCUGCCCCAGACUCUGGGAUAACUCCUCGAAAGAGGGGCUAAUACCGGAUAUUUGCAUUGCAAGACAUCUUGUGAUGCAGAAAGAAUUUCGGUCUGGGAUGGGCCCGCGGCCUAUCAGCUUGUUGGUGAGGUAACGGCUCACCAAGGCGACGACGGGUAGCCGGCCUGGGAGGGCGACCGGCCACACUGGGACUGAGACACGGCCCAGACUCCUACGGGAGGCAGCAGUGGGGAAUAUUGGGCAAUGGGCGCGAGCCUGACUCAGCAACGCCGCGUGAGGGAUGAAGGUCCUCGGAUUGUAAACCUCUUUCAGCAGGGACGAAGCGAAAGUGACGGUACCUGCAGAAGAAGCACCGGCUAACUACGUGCCAGCCGCCGCGGUAA
rnacentral:rRNA from 1 species